GCAGAACCCACCACGGCGUCGUCAGCCAAGAUAUAUACAGGAAACGGAACACGUUACCGCCUAGCCCCAAGCAUAACACCUGUAGAUCAAGGAUCUUCUAUUCAUCGGAUACGCGGUACUACCUUCACGUGACCGAUCUGGCGAAUCAACUUGAAGCUGAAGAAGUAGGCGAAUAUCU